AUUGAACGCUGGCGGCAGGCCUAACACAUGCAAGUCGAGCGGUAGAGAGAAGCUUGCUUCUCUUGAGAGCGGCGGACGGGUGAGUAAUGCCUAGGAAUCUGCCUAGUGGUGGGGGAUAACGUUCGGAAACGGACGCUAAUACCGCAUACGUCCUACGGGAGAAAGCGGGGGAUCUUCGGACCUCGCGCCAUUAGAUGAGCCUAGGUCGGAUUAGCUAGUUGGUGAGGUAAUGGCUCACCAAGGCGACGAUCCGUAACUGGUCUGCGAGGAUGAUCAGUCACACUGGAACUGAGACACGGUCCAGACUCCUACGGGAGGCAGCAGUGGGGAAUAUUGGACAAUGGGCGAAAGCCUGAUCCAGCCAUGCCGCGUGUGUGAAGAAGGUCUUCGGAUUGUAAAGCACUUUAAGUUGGGAGGAAGUGCAGUAACCUAAUACGUUAUUGUUUUGACGUUACCGACAGAAUAAGCACCGGCUAACUUCGUGCCAGCAGCCGCCGUAAAAC
rnacentral:rRNA from 1 species